rnacentral:tRNA from 1 species
UGGGGAUUAGUGUAACGGUAGCACGACUGAUUCUGGUUCAGUUAGUCUAGGUUCAAAUCCUAGAUCCCCAG